CGAUUUCCGAAUGGGGAAACCCAGUGUGUUUCGACACACUAUCAUUAACUGAAUCCAUAGGUUAAUGAGGCGAACCGGGGGAACUGAAACAUCUAAGUACCCCGAGGAAAAGAAAUCAACCGAGAUUCCCCCAGUAGCGGCGAGCGAACGGGGAGGAGCCCAGAGCCUGAAUCAGUGUGUGUGUUAGUGGAAGCGUCUGGAAAGGCGCGCGAUACAGGGUGACAGCCCCGUACACAAAAAUGCACAUAUUGUGAGCUCGAUGAGUAGGGCGGGACACGUGGUAUCCUGUCUGAAUAUGGGGGGACCAUCCUCCAAGGCUAAAUACUCCUGACUGACCGAUAGUGAACCAGUACCGUGAGGGAAAGGCGAAAAGAACCCCGGCGAGGGGAGUGAAAAAGAACCUGAAACCGUGUACGUACAAGCAGUGGGAGCCUCUUAAUGGGGUGACUGCGUACCUUUUGUAUAAUGGGUCAGCGACUUAUAUUCUGUAGCAAGGUUAACCGAAUAGGGGAGCCGAAGGGAAACCGAGUCUUAACUGGGCGUUAAGUUGCAGGGUAUAGACCCGAAACCCGGUGAUCUAGCCAUGGGCAGGUUGAAGGUUGGGUAACACUAACUGGAGGACCGAACCGACUAAUGUUGAAAAAUUAGCGGAUGACUUGUGGCUGGGGGUGAAAGGCCAAUCAAACCGGGAGAUAGCUGGUUCUCCCCGAAAGCUAUUUAGGUAGCGCCUCGUGAAUUCAUCUCCGGGGGUAGAGCACUGUUUCGGCAAGGGGGUCAUCCCGACUUACCAACCCGAUGCAAACUGCGAAUACCGGAGAAUGUUAUCACGGGAGACACACGGCGGGUGCUAACGUCCGUCGUGAAGAGGGAAACAACCCAGACCGCCAGCUAAGGUCCCAAAGUCAUGGUUAAGUGGGAAACGAUGUGGGAAGGCCCAGACAGCCAGGAUGUUGGCUUAGAAGCAGCCAUCAUUUAAAGAAAGCGUAAUAGCUCACUGGUCGAGUCGGCCUGCGCGGAAGAUGUAACGGGGCUAAACCAUG
rnacentral:rRNA from 1 species